UACGUAGGGUGCAAGCGUUAAUCGGAAUUACUGGGCGUAAAGCGUGCGCAGGCGGUUAUGUAAGCCAGAUGUGAAAUGCCCGGGCUUAACCUGGGAACUGCAUUUGUGACUGCAUGGCUAGAGUGUGUCAGAGGGGGGUAGAAUUCCACGUGUAGCAGUGAAAUGCGUAGAUAUGUGGAGGAAUACCGAUGACGAAGGCAGCCCCCUGGGAUAACACUGACGCUCAUGCACGAAAGCGUGGGGAGCAAACAGG
rnacentral:rRNA from 1 species